CUAUUAUGAAGUAGCACUUUAUCGAAUUGAUUAUAACCAACACGCCUGACAUAAAAAAAUUUUUUUUACCAAACAUUCGGACAUACAAAGUUGGAAAACUUGUCUGCCAAUACCCUUAAAAAAUUAGGAUUAUGUGAAGAUCAUUUCGUUAUUACAUCAUAACGAAGAACGUGUAAGCGCGACGAGAGAAAGAGGAAAGCAAAAUCGUAAGCUCGUCGCGUGACAGUCGCGUGGUCUGUCAUUGAUGAGACAAAG